rnacentral:lncRNA from 1 species
GGAGAAGAAACUAUGAAGCCUUGGUCGGAUGCUCCAAUCAAAGGAAUUGGGCAGAUCCACAACGGCCCUAUUCGGAAAAAGCUAAGAUGUCGAAUCAGGAAGAUAUUGAUGUCUCUUCUGUUCACGGGUACCUGCACAAAUAGUCUACACCACCGUGGGAAAUCAAGAAAAAUCGUGGCAAUCGAAUGGGGUUGAUGGAAGGGC